ensembl:lncRNA
UACCAGAAGACUCCAGGUUCACAGGGGAAAGCUUCACCAAGGACAGAUCUCCAGAAAGAGAUCCUUCCCCAGUGGCAGUCAGCCCUUAAAUGAGGUCCAAGAGAGGUGCAGCCAGGCCCCACUCCUUCCUAUCACUCAGAUGAAUUGCCUUCACCUGUGCUCCCAGGGCUGACCAGGUCCUUUCUCCAGGUGCUCCAUCAGUGGUUCAGGCUGGGACUCAACAGUUCCCAUACAGAAGCCCUCUCUGUGACUAACUUGUUAGCGCUUGUGAAAACAUAGGAGUUGCUAAUCACCAGGGCCUAUUACUCAAAGCACCCUUUAGAGCCUCCUGACAUCUAGCCUUCCUGAGCUUCUUGAGGGAUGAGGAAGGGACAACAACAAGCAAUUUGGGAACGGCAUUACGUCACUCAGCCCCAUCAGAGCCUACAGACUGCAAGAGACGAGAUGGCUCGGUGUGCUGUCACAUCUCCAGCAGCACUGUCAGCAACUGGCACAGGUAGCCAGCAGCCCUGCAUCAGCCAUGUCUUGUCCUGCAGAUCCAUGAGUCCUUCCAAGCUCACUGGUGCUCUCCUUCCAGUUACUCUAAUCCCCAGAGCAUGGUGAUUUUCUGCCAAUUUUGCAUAUGCUGCUGUUUCCAGAAAUUCCAGUUCAGUGUUUACACACAUUUCACAGUGAUCGCUCCUAACAACCAUUGAGAGAUGGUAUUAUCAUGUUUCUAUUUCCUACGAACUGCUGGCUAAGACUGCACUAAAAGUCCUGAGUGCCAGAUGGUCUGAUUUAUGUUAUUUAUUCUUUCAGCAUCUAUACAGAGCCAUAGGUACUUUAUGCAUUUUGUCAUUUUAAAUCAUAAACACUUUGCCACCCUCAAAUUCUGCCAACUGCCUUGGUUAUUACCUUCGCUGCAUCAUCAGUCACCAGUCAGCAUCCCAGGCUUGCCAGCACCACAGCUGAUGUACAGUUCAGGGAACUGCAAAUCCUGAACAACAAGCAUGUCUCAGACAAGCUGAGAUCCACCAACAGCAUCCACCUCCUGCUCCAGGAUUAAUGGAAACCGUUGGCAAGCCCUUCAAAUUUGGUACCUUUCUUCAUGUCUGAGAAUUCCUGUGAUGGAUCCCAAACUGUCAAGCAAAGCCUGCUUGGUGAGCAGCCAGAGUUUUUGCUUGGAAAUCUUCUCAUUGGUCUUGGGCAUCAAGACCAAUACUAUAUAUAUAAUAUAUAUGAUAUAUAUAUAUAUAAUACUAUACUAUAAUAUAUAUAUAUAUAAUACUAUACUUGGAAAUCAAGUAUAUGAAAUACAACAUGAAAUCAGAAGCAUUUACAUUUGUGUGGUUCAGAUUACUUGAAACACUGAGUAGACAGAAACAGGGAGUUUGAAAGCUCGUGUUUUUACUUCUCCCAGCAGACCAUGAGCUGGAAGUGACUGUCAUGAGUACAGGUAGGAAAUACCAGUGUAUUCCUUUCUCAUUUUGAAGUAUGUCUAUGAGGAAAGACUCUUUGCUAACAGCCAAAAAUAAAAGGAAAGCAGAAAGUUAUCAAGCAGUCUUGAAAAGGCCAUUUGAAUUUCCAGCUGAAAAUCAGCAAAUGUCUAAGUAGACACUUCGGGAGCUUUUCUGAACAGAGCUGGAGCCCUUUGCUGCAACAGCAUCCACCUCCUGCUCCAGGAUUAAUGGAAACCCUUGGCAAGCCCUUCAAAUUUGGUACCUUUCUUCACGUCUGAGAAUUCCUGUGAUGGAUCCCAUGGCACAACAGCAAAGUGCUUCCCAGCCAGCUGCGGACCCAGCCAACAGACAAGUGGGAUCUUCACCAUCUGCUGCCUGGAAGCAGCUCAACAGGACUCAUUUCAUCAAGAAAACAAUGAAGGCAACUGUCAUGUUACUUACAUUGUAUUUAACUACAAAAGCCCCAACACCUCCAUUUCUUCCAAGGCCCAGGCUUUAAGGCCAGAGCUGCCAGCUCCCCUGGUGCUGCCACGACCCUGGUCCCAAGCAGCUCCUCUGCACUCUGAGUUAGGGGCAACAAGCACAAAGUGAGAUCAGAAGAGCAUGACAAGCAUUUCAGCAUUAUUAAACGUAUCCAAACAUUUUAUUUAUGGACUGCAAUUUGAUUUUGCUUCUAUUUGUUAUAGUGUUUACUGAGCCAUUAGAUUUAAAAAAAUAUCUACUGGGAUGGAAAAAAGCUGGGGGCUGCUUCAUUGAGACCAGCAGGCAUGAGGAUGGUCCGGUUUUAUUAUUUACUGGGCCACUUAGCUUCUUUGCCACCAGUGUUGCUCAAGUGCAGUGCAUCUACCCAACGGCCAACAGAAUUGCUUCUGUGCCACAGGACAAAGAGAUGUGACCUCACAGGCCAGUCACAAUGGCAGAGCAAUAGCUGACAUGUUGUUUAUAUGGAAAACAGAAAAUUUCAACUGCUUUAAGAGGUGAAACAUUCUGUAUCAGAUAACAUAGUCAUCAGUCUAUGCUCCUUGGAGGCUAGUAACUCUUGUUGAGCAUCUCACCUAGGAAGAAAGCUUGGCUGUCUGGAGUAAGUGCUAAUUAACUAAAACUCAGUUUUGAAAAAGAGUAUCUGCAGAGGAGAGUUUGGCAAAUGUUUCUUUUCUGAAGCAUUUAAUUUAUCUGAACAAAACACUGCCUUUUAGCUCUAAUUACAGUUUGACCAACUACUGCUGCUUCCCAGGGAGCUACAAAUCUGCACCACAGAAGCAGUCAGACUGGCUGAAUUACCUUUCUUUUUUUCCAUGCAUUUAUUCAUUUAUGUGGUUUGGAAGCACUGUAAGUCAGCUAUUUGCUCUUUCCUUCAAAUGAGAGCCAUUUUGGAUACAGUUUUACAGUCCGACUGCAAAUCCACUGCUGAGGGAAGCCGCUAAUGCGGAGCCUCACAGCUGUACUGCAAUCUGAAUUAACAUUUCUGGGUCUGCCAAAGAUGUAGAAACAUUGCUGCUCACUUAAUAGAUGAUUGAAGGGAGUGUUCCAGGCAGGCAAAUUCAAAGUAUUGUGCAGAUGCUAGUCCUUCAAUUUUUUUUCCUGUAAACAUCAGCAGGCAGAGCAGAGAAGCGUGACAGACAAAGUAGGUUCCCAGCCCAAGCCACAUCCUCACAGAUGGGCACCUGGGUUGCAAGAAAAGAAGAAAAUUUUAUUUCCAUUAAAGACAGCAUUUAAGAGACUAUCAGUGCAAACUUCAAGCAGUUGCUUAGAGAUUACCAAGGUUAACAGAGAGCAGCACUAAGAAUGUCUUCAUGCUACACAGCAAGGAUGAGGGCAGUUUCUGGAACAAGCUGCAAACAUGUCUGGCUGUCAUUUAUUCAGGCAUCCUAAGAACAUCCUUCAGUUGCUGUGUGGGGGGUAGCAAAGGAGCAAAAGUAAUCUCCUGAGGUUUGGAGUCAGUAUGGUGAUGGCUGAGACUUCCUCUGCUCUGGUUCUGCGGCACUGGGAGAUGAGCCUGGUACCUCAGCUCCACACACACUGUGUUUGAAGGCACUUGGGCUAGAAGUGCUUGCCUUCACAAACAGGGUGAUAUGAGCAUGGGAAACGAGGGCAGAAAUGGUUUCUGAUGAAUGGCAGGGCUCUCACAGGCACAAGUGCAGGCUGUUCGUUCAGCAGCAUUGCUGUGGAAGGGCUGUUCCUGCUGCACUGCACGCUGCCAUCCAGUCACUGUGCAGCACCUGCCCCUCUGCAUGGCUCCAGCUGUCCCCUGGUGCCUUGCAGGCAGGCAGGACACAGCUGCUCUUCUGGCACGGCCUUAGCAGCCGGCUCCUCUCCUGCUGGGGCUGCAGAUGUGCUCAUCAGCAGCAGAGAUGCUUCCCAGAUGCAGGAACCAAAUCCACCAACCAGAAAUGGGAAGAGCAGAGUAAAGCACUGCCUGCUUCUGCAUGUGAUAAAAUC